rnacentral:tRNA from 1 species
GGGGGCAUAGGCUUAAUGGUAAACUCCCGGUCUCCAAAACCGGUUUUGGAGGUUCAAAUCCUUCUGCCCCCG